UACGGAGGGUGCAAGCGUUAUCCGGAUUCAUUGGGUUUAAAGGGUGCGUAGGCGGGAUGAUAAGUCAGUGGUGAAAUCCUACAGCUUAACUGUAGAACUGCCAUUGAUACUGUUGUUCUUGAGUCUGGCUGAGGUUGGCGGAAUGUGGCAUGUAGCGGUGAAAUGCAUAGAUAUGCCACAGAACACCUAUCGCGAAGGCAGCUAACCAAACCAGUACUGACGCUGAGGCACGAAAGCGUGGGGAGCGAACAGG
rnacentral:rRNA from 1 species